UUGAACGCUGGCGGCAUGCCUAACACAUGCAAGUCGAACGGUAACGCGGAGAGCUUGCUCUCUGGCGACGAGUGGCGGACGGGUGAGUAAUACUUAGGAAUCUACCCAGUAGUGGGGGACAACAUUCGGAAACGGAUGCUAAUACCGCAUACGCACUACGGUGGAAAGUGGGGGACCUUCGGGCCUCACGCUAUUGGAUGAGCCUAAGUCGGAUUAGCUUGUUGGUGAGGUAAUGGCUCACCAAGGCGACGAUCCGUAGCUGGUCUGAGAGGACGAUCAGCCACACUGGGACUGAGACACGGCCCAGACUCCUACGGGAGGCAGCAGUGGGGAAUAUUGGACAAUGGGCGCAAGCCUGAUCCAGCAAUGCCGCGUGUGUGAAGAAGGCCUGCGGGUUGUAAAGCACUUUCAGUAGAGAAGAAAAGCCUAGGGAUAAUACCCCUGAGUCUUGACGUAACCUACAGAAGAAGCACCGGCUAACUCCGUG
rnacentral:rRNA from 1 species